CUUUCCAAGAGACAUAAUCUCUCAAACUUUAUCUUCAUUGCACAUUGUCUACAGGAAAACCAUAGUCGUAAUUUGAUAUUUGAUGCUUUCGCGGUGUAUAGUAUUAACAUACAAAGAUGUUUUUUGGGUUUGAACCGCGCGAUUUUUGGCGAUCGUAUGGUACAUAUACCAAAGUGUACCAGAAUGUUUUCGCGUGUUUGUUACUUUGUGGUGGAGGCGUGGUUAACCGCUUUGGUAUCUAUCUGGUUAAUACCACGCUAUACCCUGCAGAAUAGUAGGGUAUCUUUUCCAAAUAUCUGAAAAAAACAUUGUAUGCAAACUUNAAAUAUUCUUUUCUUUAUUGAAAAGAUUGUAUUGUUAAAAAAUAAAUAAAAAUUUCUUGAUUUGUACAAAUAAUCGUGGUCAACCAAUUUUGAACAAAGAAGGAAAAAUACUAUAUUAUUGCACAAAAACAAAUGCUUUAACAACUUUAGAAAAUNUGUGUGAAACAGAUACUACAGCUAAUGAAAACACAGAAAAAGAUGCACAAUCCACUAAAACAACUGAAGAAAUAAUGUUAGAAAUGACAAAUAAAGAUAAAUUUACUCAUAAAAAAUAACACUAAAGCUAUUAGAGAUU